rnacentral:tRNA from 1 species
GUGCUUGUGGUGUAGUGGUUAUCACAUCCGCCUAACACGCGGAAGGUCCCAGGUUCGAUCCCUGGCAAGCACA